AUUGAACGCUGGCGGCAGGCCUAACAAAUGCAAGUCGAACGAGUGGCGGACGGGUGAGUAAUGUCUGGGAAACUGCCCGAGGGAGGGGGAUAACGGCGGGAAACGGUAGCUAAUACCGCAUACCAUCGGAGGUGCCCAGAUGGGAUUAGCUAGUCGGUGGGGUAACGGCUCACCUAGGCGACGGUCCCUAGCGGGUCUGAGAGGAUGACCAGCCACACUGGAACUUGGACACGGUCCAGACUCCUACGGGAGGCAGCAGUGGGGAAUAUUGCACCAUGGGCGCAAGCCUGAUGCAGCCCUGCCGCGUGUAUGAAGAAGGCCUUCGGGUUGUAAAGUACUUUCAGCGAGGAGGCGUUACUCGCAGAAGAAGCACCGGCUAACUCCGUGCCAGCAGCCGCGGUAAUUC
rnacentral:rRNA from 1 species